rnacentral:lncRNA from 1 species
UCUUUUUCAUGGAAUCAAUAAUAGGUAGCCAAGUAGCCUUUCUUCUCGGAUUAGCACCUACCGUUAUGCCAAGAAAGCGAAAAAGGAUAGAAUCCACACCACAAUGCAAAAAAGACGAAGAUGCGCACAAAAAACUAUCAUCCAAAUUAAUACCAUAAAGCUUUCUUUUGAAAAAAUUUACCUUUAAACCAGACACUAAUUCGAAGCUUCUCAACAGCGUUUUAAUAGUCCAAAGGUUGUCCCAAUUGCCUUCGCCUACUAUAAUGGUAUCAUCCGCGAAUUGCAGAGUAUGAAACAUUAAAUUAUUGUUCACCUAGUAACCAUGAAAAGAGCCGCUUCCAACCGCUUUAUUCAUAAGUCCCGAUAGACCUUCAACAACAAUCAAGAAGAGGAACGGUGACAUUGAUGAUGGAUUCUUUUCUAAGUGGCGGUCUCUCUCAUGAACAACUGGAAU